rnacentral:rRNA from 1 species
UACCAGCACCCCGAGUGGUCGGGACGAUUAUUGGGCCUAAAGCAUCCGUAGCCGGCCUUACAAGUCCUCCGUUAAAUCCAGCUGCUUAACAGAUGGGCUGCGGAGGAUACUAUAAGACUAGGAGGCAGGAGAGGCAAGCGGUACUCAGUGGGUAGGGGUAAAAUCCGUUGAUCCAUUGAAGACCACCAGUGGCGAAGGCGGCUUGCCAGAAUGCGCUCGACGGUGAGGGAUGAAAGCUGGGGAGCAAACCGG